rnacentral:lncRNA from 1 species
CCCCCCCCCCCCCCCCCCCCCCCCCCCCCCCCCCCCCCCCCCCCCCAGGCCUUUGUGCCCUGGGCUGGGCAGCGCCUUUGCAGCCCCACAGAAGGAACUUUCCUUGCAGGGGCUGCACUUUGCUGCUGCCUCGGCCCUCCCUGAGCAGCUGGCAGGGCUUGCAGGGUGAUGCCAUUUGUCCUUCUGCCCCUCCCAUCCCAGUGCCCCAGGAACAGCCCCGAGCCACCCGUGAGGGACAGGCCUUGCUCAGCAUUGCAGUUCCUGCUCACAGCCUUUGGCUCCUGCAAUCCUGCCCUCAAGGAUCUGCUCUCACCAGUCCCUGGGGAGCCUUUGGCAGUCCCUGCCCUCAGUGGGGCCAGUGAUGCUCCAAGGGACUUGGAGUUUGGCUUCUGCCUCCUUGGGCAGCUUCUUCAACCUUCUCUCAGUGCCUGAGGUUCCUGGACUCAGCCCCAAAUCCACCAUGGGGAUUGUUAUAGACUUAGAAUGGAAACCGAAUUCAGUCAGUCUUGAUCAAUUUGAGUUUAUUUAGCAAGCGACAGUAGGCAAAACAGUGCUGGGCGGCCGGGAGGCACUGCUCCACAAACGGCGCUCAAUUUCUCUCUCCCCCCGAGGUCUUUUUAUGCAGUUCUAAUUCAGCUGACAUGUCCUUUCUUGGAGUACUCUGCAUCCGCGAGGCCCGUUGCUGGGGGGAUCGAAAUCUCUUCUUCUGGUGGUCGCAGCAGGGGAGAGGCGCUGGGUGCUUUUCUUGUUUAUUCUGCCUAGCCUAGGGGAAAAUCCUUAAAGAACCGGUGAAACAGCCCAGCCGCUACUUUUAGCAUAAAUUAUGCAUACCAUGCUUUGUGAUUUGAAACUAUGUGGUCAAAGUCUAUACCCGUCUCACCUUUGGCUGAAAUUCAUUAUUUCUUACUAGGAGUUUUAAUGAACAAAGUGCUUAUACCGUAUCACAGGGAUGAUUAAAAUACAGAAAGCCCUCAGGAGCUCUUUGUCUUUCUUCAAUUGUUUUCAAGUCUCCAGGGCUUGUGCUUCUGCUUGGGGUCAGUUUGGAUUUCUUUUAAGGAAGGUGAUUUCAAAGUGAAUUUUGGUUUUAAUCAAGGACAUAUUAUUUUAUUUUUUCAGUUCAGACUAGAGGUAACUUAAACUCCUUAAGUUACCCCGAUGCUGAAUGUCUCCUUAGGAGGUCUGGGCAGAGAAAUGAAUGAGCCCUCUGCUGGCUGACCCUAUGAUUUCAAAGUGAAUUUUGGUUUUAAUCAAGGACAUAUUAUUUUAUUUUUUCAGUUCAGACUAGAGGUAACUUAAACUCCUUAAGUUACCCCGAUGCUGAAUGUCUCCUUAGGAGGUCUGGGCAGAGAAAUGAAUGAGCCCUCUGCUGGCUGACCCUAUGUGGACAAACUGCUCCUCACCCCCAACCUCACCAUAUCCAAAAUUGGACACGUUGAACUGAAAUCCCAGAAUAUUAAAGNNNNNNNNNNNNNNNNNNNNNNNNNNNNNNNNNNNNNNNNNNCUUAUUUUAAUCCCUUUGU